AUUGAACGCUGGCGGCAUGCCUUACACAUGCAAGUCGAACGGUAACGGGCCUUCGGGUGCCGACGAGUGGCGAACGGGUGAGUAAUACAUCGGAACGUGCCCGAUCGUGGGGGAUAACGAGGCGAAAGCUUUGCUAAUACCGCAUACGAUCUACGGAUGAAAGCAGGGGACCGCAAGGCCUUGCGCGGACGGAGCGGCCGAUGGCAGAUUCGGUAGUUGGUGGGAUAAAAGCUUACCAAGCCGACGAUCUGUAGCUGGUCUGAGAGGAUGAUCAGCCACACUGGGACUGAGACACGGCCCAGACUCCUAAGGGAGGCAGCAGUGGGGAAUUUUGGACAAUGGGCGCAAGCCUGAUCCAGCCAGGCCGCGUGCAGGAUGAAAGCCUUCGGGUUGUAAACUGCUUUUGUACGGAACGAAAAGCCUUCUUUUAAUACAGGAGGGUCAUGACGGUACCGGAAGAAUAAGCACCGGCUAACUACGUG
rnacentral:rRNA from 1 species